rnacentral:rRNA from 1 species
CCUACGGGAGGCAGCAGUGGGGAAUUUUGGACAAUGGGCGAAAGCCUGAUCCAGCAAUGCCGCGUGAGUGAAGAAGGCCUUCGGGUUGUAAAGCUCUUUUGUCAGGGAAGAAACGGUGUGGGCUAAUAUCCUGCACUAAUGACGGUACCUGAAGAAUAAGCACCGGCUAACUACGUGCCAGCAGCCGCGGUAAUACGUAGGGUGCAAGCGUUAAUCGGAAUUACUGGGCGUAAAGCGUGCGCAGGCGGUUUUGUAAGUCUGUCGUGAAAUCCCCGGGCUCAACCUGGGAAUUGCGAUGGAGACUGCAAGGCUAGAAUCUGGCAGAGGGGGGUAGAAUUCCACGUGUAGCAGUGAAAUGCGUAGAGAUGUGGAGGAACACCGAUGGCGAAGGCAGCCCCCUGGGUCAAGAUUGACGCUCAUGCACGAAAGCGUGGGGAGCAAACAGGAUUAGAUACCCUGGUAGUCCACGCCCUAAACGAUGUCUACUAGUUGUCGGGUUUUAAUUAACUUGGUAACGCAGCUAACGCGUGAAGUAGACCGCCUGGGGAGUACGGUCGCAGAUUAAAACUCAAAGGAAUUGACGGCUGAGACGNGCGACGACGACGACGAGGGAGGAGG